AUUGAACGCUGGCGGCAUGCUUUACACAUGCAAGUCGAACGGUAACAGGCCGCAAGGUGCUGACGAGUGGCGAACGGGUGAGUAAUGCAUCGGAACGUGCCCAGUCGUGGGGGAUAACUACUCGAAAGAGUAGCUAAUACCGCAUACGAUCUAUGGAUGAAAGCGGGGGACCGUAAGGCCUCGCGCGAUUGGAGCGGCCGAUGUCAGAUUAGGUAGUUGGUGGGGCAAAGGCACACCAAGCCAACGAUCUGUAGCUGGUCUGAGAGGACGACGAGCCACAUGGGGAUGGAAACGCGGCCAGGCCCCCUGGGGGGGGAGGCAGUGGGAUAUUUUGGACAAGGGGCCCAGGCCUGCUCCAGCAAGGCGGGGGGAAGAAAGAGGUCCUGGGGGUUUUAAUCUCUUUUUGUGGGAAAGAAAACGUCUUUGUUUAAUACCGGGGGUUAAGGAGGGUACGGAAAAAAAAAGCACCGGCUAACUACGUG
rnacentral:rRNA from 1 species